GGGUGCCUGGACAUGUCUGUUCCGGGCAGUCCGGCGCAGACAAAGAAAAGGCCCCACUCAAUGUAAAUCAAGUGAGGCCAAUCCCGAUGCAUAGGAACAUCAGGUUAGCCUCUUACCCGCCGCGAGGCAAGGAAUUGGAGGCCAGUA
rnacentral:antisense_RNA from 1 species